UACGUAGGGUGCAAGCGUUGUCCGGAAUUAUUGGGCGUAAAGAGCUCGUAGGCGGUUUGUCGCGUCUGCUGUGAAAACUCGGGGCUUAACCCCGGGCCUGCAGUGGGUACGGGCAGACUAGAGUGCGGUAGGGGAGACUGGAAUUCCUGGUGUAGCGGUGAAAUGCGCAGAUAUCAGGAGGAACACCAAUGGCGAAGGCAGCUCGCUGGGACGGUACUGGCGCUGAGACGCGAAAGCGUGGGGAGCAAACAGG
rnacentral:rRNA from 1 species